ACUGUCAUACACCACAUCCACUACUCUACUACUACAGACUUUUUGGUGCUCUUCCCCCUGUGGAGUCCAAAUCCUUUGACACGUGUCGUUUUCUCAAGAGAUUCACUGUCCCACUCUCUGCGUGAUUCCCCCCCACAUCUGACGGCUGCAGUUCGCCGCCGGUCUACUCAUCCGUCAAACGCCGGUUACUGCUCAGACUUUGGUUUGAUCAAAAUAAAUAAAAAAAGAUCAACGGCUGGAAGAGGAAGUAGAGGUUGAAUCUGGACCCUUAGAUUUAUAUAUACUAAAAAAAGGUAUUUGGGUCUUCAUGUCAGUAGAGGCGUUUCUCUUGCUUGUUUAACACAACACUCCCCCACUCUUCACAUUUCUUCUAUUUUCUUCUAAUUUCUACAUCUCAUCACAUGUAGCACACAAAGUCACAAACACUUGUACUGGAAAUGAUUGAAAGAGAAAUAUGUCUUAUAUUUGCGGAUAUAUAAAUGUGCUUUCACUUC